CUUAUUUGCAUUGGAAGCAAUUCCCAAAUCAACACUCAAAAAUUAAAGCCCUCACCGGCCACAACCUCCAGCCCCUCUCUUCUCUGUUCACUAACAGCGUCUCAGCGACAGUGGCGCAGUGCGAACGGAGCAGCAAGACUCUCGUCCGACGUUUCUCAGUCUCUCAGCGGGAAGACUGAUUCCUUGCAAUUUUCUUAAUCAGUUUGAAGUUUUGAUUCUCCUGUUGGAACUGAAGUGAAGUUUUAUGACCCACGGAAGGGUUUGUGGAAGAAGAUCAAUUUUUCUUUUCAAUGGAUCCCAAAUAUGCAGGAGAAACUUUGAAGCAUCUAGAGAAAGAAAGUGAACUACUCUUGAAUGCCCAUAAAGCAAUGUCAGAUGAAUUGCACAGGCUUCAGGUUGAGGAAGAAAUGAUGAUGCGCAAGUUACAUGAACUUAUUUCAGCUCACAAUCUAAGUAAAAAGAAAGGCUUAAAUGAUAAUGCUGAGAAAAGGCAGAAUGACCAGGAAGGAGCACCGGUCGACAUGACUAAUGGUGCUGAUGAAAGGCAGAAUGACCUGGAAGGAGCUGCCAUUGACAUGACUAAAGGAUGAAAUUUGAACUGUUAAGCUGAAGGAUUUUCAGACGUCAAACCUCCGACCCUCCAAAAAAAUAAGGUCAAAUGGGCACAUAGAAGAACAAACAAGAUAAUGUACUUCCACAAAUAAUGUUGGUGAAGUAUUGAUAUAUUACCUCUGUUUCAAGGAGGUAAAGAAUGGAGGUUGUUGUUUAUAUAUUAAAAACAUUAACAUAAUUAAAUAUUAAAUUUGAUAGUUUUUUAGUUAUUUUAUAUAAAA